rfam:Cavia porcellus supercont2_29 genomic scaffold, whole genome shotgun sequence.
GGGUAUAGCUCAGUGGCACAGUGCCUGCCUGACAAGCGUGAGGUCCUCGGUUCAAUUCCCAGUACUAACA